UUUUUACAGUGCUUUACUCCGUGUUUGGCUCGAACAGUGAAAAAUAAAAACCAUAAAAACAAACGGAAACUCGCAAGUUGCCGAAAAUUUUCGCCGUGAUCCCACUAAAAUACAGUUUUCAUUUAGUUAAAAUAAAAAAAUCUACGUGUAAAACGUUCCGUGAAGUAAUGUUUCAGUGAUCUGAUGGCUGUUGUAAAAAAACACCUGAAAAUUCCACGGCUGCUGUCCCCAACCCCAAGGAAUGUUUGGAUUACCUGUGGAUUCUGCUACAAAUUGGGAAAGGAGGACCGCGCACCAAUCAAACCGUACAACCCACCUGCCUCCACAUGCAACAAAUUAGGUUGCACUAGGUGCAUCUUCCGGAUUCGUAGCUGCAGUAGAAUGGCUCAUCUGAAGCGAAAAGUCAAGACGCGGCUGGAUUUCCAACUCAACAAUGAAGACAACCGCUGCAGGAGCGAUUUUUUUGUGUUCACUUGUGAGCGUUUAAACAAGUCCUAAAAAAAUUCCGGAAAAUCAAAAUUGGAAAUUGGAGAUUUAAGAAACAAAAAUCAUUAAAAAUCGAUUUGUAUGAUAAAAGGCAA